AUUGAACGCUGGCGGCAGGCCUAACACAUGCAAGUCGAACGAGUGGCGGACGGGUGAGUAAUGUCUGGGAAACUGCCUGAUGGAGGGGGAUAACUACUGGAAACGGUAGCUAAUACCGCAUACCAUCGGAUGUGCCCAGAUGGGAUUAGCUAGGAGGUGGGGUAAAGGCUCACCUAGGCGACGAUCCCUAGCUGGUCUGAGAGGAUGACCAGCAACACUGGAACGGAGACACGGUCCAGACUCCUACGGGAGGAAGCAGUGGGGAAUAUUGCAAAAUGGGCGCAAGCCGGAUGCAGCCAUGCCGCUUGUAUGAAGAAGGCCUUCGGGUUGUAAAGUACUUUCAGCGGGGAGGCGUUACCCGCAGAAGAAGCACCGGCUAACUCCGUGCCAGCAGCCGCGGUAAUUC
rnacentral:rRNA from 1 species